UACGAAGGGGGCUAGCGUUGUUCGGAAUCACUGGGCGUAAAGGGCGCGUAGGCGGCCCGCACAAGUCUGCGGUGAAAACCCCCGGCUUAACCGGGGGCCGGCCGUGGAAACUGUCGGGCUAGAGGCCGGGAGAGGGCAGCGGAAUUCCCGGUGUAGCGGUGAAAUGCGUAGAGAUCGGGAGGAACACCGGCGGCGAAGGCGGCUGCCUGGACCGGCCCUGACGCUGAGGUGCGAAAGCGUGGGGAGCAAACAGG
rnacentral:rRNA from 1 species